rnacentral:rRNA from 1 species
AUUGAACGCUGGCGGCAUGCCUUACACAUGCAAGUCGAACGGCAGCACGGGAGCUUGCUCCUGGUGGCGAGUGGCGAACGGGUGAGUAAUGCAUCGGAACGUGCCCUGAAGUGGGGGAUAACGUAGCGAAAGUUACGCUAAUACCGCAUAUUCUGUGAGCAGGAAAGCAGGGGAUCGCAAGACCUUGCGCUCUGGGAGCGGCCGAUGUCGGAUUAGCUAGUUGGUGGGGUAAAGGCCUACCAAGGCGACGAUCCGUAGCGGGUCUGAGAGGAUGAUCCGCCACACUGGGACUGAGACACGGCCCAGACUCCUACGGGAGGCAGCAGUGGGGAAUUUUGGACAAUGGGCGAAAGCCUGAUCCAGCCAUGCCGCGUGAGUGAAGAAGGCCU